UUGUGCUAUUCAAUUUUCCACCGAAGGAAUGCAGCAAUGUAUCUGAAUUCCUUGUCAUGCUCAGCUACAGUUCUUGGGAUUUAUUUUUCACUUGCUGGACAAGCCAUAUUUGGCUAUAGAUUUCCAAAAUAGCCAAUAUGUAAGUUAUUACACUACCUUUAGUGUAUUGGAGAAUCCCUGGUAAUAAAUAUAGAGUUUAGUAGGGAUUUUUCUGAAGAUUUUUUUCCUAUGUGACCUUUUCUUAAACUCAGGCUCUCUAUUUCCAUCUCUUCCAAAAAAUAAACAUGAUGCAGUGAGCAAGAAUUUGGUACAAAGUAGUUUGACAGCAUUACUAUCCAAGGUACAAGCUAUUUUAAAGAUCUAUUAUUUCAUGUUUCACUACCUCUAUCAUUUUUCCUCUGUGUUGAGCUCCAGGAAUCAGUCCUGGAUACAUCUGAAAAUCACGCACUGGAAAUGUGAUCCAUCUGGUAAAUGAACAAGCAAGAAAUGAGGGAAGCACAGGAAAAUUCACAGAAUAUAUCCACUUUACUGUGUUUUCUGUUACAGCUUUUCUUGCUUCACAUGGAAAAACAAGCACCUAAAGUCAUAUUAUGGAAUAUUGGGAUUUGAGUGUGAACCUCCUGUGUCCUCAUAUGAAUAUUUACACCCUUGUUGCCUGAAGAAAAUGGGAAGCUUCACAGUAGAGUUGGCCCCAGCCCUGCCACACCAUCACUACAACCUUCCAAGAGGGCUGGCAAGCCUCUCCCUUUUAAAUAACAGCCUUGCUGUUCAAAAAUCUCGAACAGGGAUAUCUUUAAAAAAAAAGAAGAAAACAGCUGCUCAAGGAUCUGUAUGUUCUGCGUAGUAUUGAUUAUUUUGAAUUUAGGAACAUCAACACUAAUAUCAUACACAAAAGUAUAUGACACUAUCCUUGGUUUUUGUAUGUUAGCAGGGUAUGAUUUUGUAGUUUGCUUUUCUUAAUUAAGAAUUGGUGUCUCUUGAUAUUUAUUUUUAGCAUGCAGCCCUUCCUAAAAGACAAGACAGACAAGAUGUUGUCAAUAGAGCUGCCAAUGCAAGUCACAUGAUCAAGCAUUCAGAGGUAAAUACUCUCCUUCUGGUUCCAUGAAGAGCUUUUACAUUUCAGCGGUCAUACCAUUGUAAUGAGUGAAACCAACAGACCAUCUGGUCCUCUGUUUGAUCUCUGGUAAUGGCCAGUACCAGAUGCUUCAGAGGACGGAGCAGCAGAAUCCACAGCCGAAUAACCAGCCAACAAGAGAAGGAUUUUUUUUGACCUCCUGUCAAUUAGUGGCUCAUUUAUGCCUUAGGAAGAGAACAUUUUUAUUUCUUGUACUUUUUGUUACCCAAUAAUCUUACCCUUAUAAUUAUUAGAUACAAUUUUGGUCUUGGAUUCUGGAAAUACUGAUGUUGGAAAUAUAUUUCUUAUCCUCAUCCACCUUUCUUCAGAAGUUCGUUACAGCAAUUCUACAGUUGACAAUAGAGAUUAUUUCAGGGUUUUAUGUUUCAUGAUAUAAAGGUAAUUUUUAACACAGCAUAGCUAUAUCAGAUAUGUUAUUAGGAAUGCAAUUAAUUCAUUAGUUGUUCCAGAGGCCAUCCUGUUCUUCAGGUUGGACUUGUUUUACCUUAUUUCAGUGGGAAUUUGAUUUUGCUUUGAUUAGAGUAGAAACUGGAACAAGUCUUAAAUACUGCAGCUGGAUAUACAAGAGGACUCUGGUUGAGUGGGCCUUGCUUUGAUACAGGCCAGACACGAUAAUAUUGAGUCCUAAUUUAUAAUUCAGGAUUAUUGAGUCCAAUUAGUAGCUCAGACCCCAAAAGCUUUGUUGGUCUCAUUUGUGUCUCACUGCAUACUCCUAUAGCCUUUGCCACAACAAAUUGCUACCUUCAUUAGUACCUGUUGGAGGUGUUGCUAUGCAAACUGUUUAAUAACAAUUUCUAUUUUGCAGGUUUUAUACUUAAACAAAUAUCAGCAAGCAUAAAGUGUGUUUAUUCUAGGUUGUUACUUCCAACUAAUAUUUUACAAUGUACUCUUGUUGUCCAGGCAGUGGGAUGUUCUCAGUCAAUAAUGGUUUGUGUAUUUUAACUUGUCGUUUUUAGUUUUUAAUCCUAUCACUUAUCCUUUGUUUUGCCUUUCAUGCCAGAAUGGAGAACCUUUGUGUCUCAUAGAUGGAAUUUGAUGCAUUUAUCGUCCCAGGCCUGAAAGACUAAGCCAGAACUUCAGACCGGAGUCUGUAUUACACAUGUGAUGGGUAGGCAGAGCUGUACAGCUCCAGCUUUCCAGGCUGUAUGUGAAUGAGGUUCAAUGAUCAGAAACAGAAACAAUAGCGCACUGGUUUGGGCUGGAAUAGAGCCGAUUUUCCUUACAGAAGCUCUUACGGUGCUGUGUGUUGGAUUUGCAACAAAAAAACCUGUUGCUGAACAGCGUUUGGAGAGCAUUAAGGCCUUUUCUGCUUCUUGCCCACCCCACCAGCAAGUAGCCUGGGGAUGCCCAAGAAGCUGGAAGAGGACACAGCUGGGGCAACUGACCCCAACUCACCAAAGGAAUAUUCCAUGCUGUAUGACAUUGCGAUCAGCAAAAAGCUGGGGGAAGAAGGGAGGGAGGGGUACUUAUGGGAGUUAUUGAGUCUGUCUUCCCAAGUAAUUGUUAUGUGUAAUGAAAAUGGCUAAACACCUGCCUGCUGUUGGGAAGAGCUGAAUGAAUUCCCUAUUUUACUUUGCUUGAGCAUGUAGCUUCUGCGUUCCCUGAUGAACUGUCUUUAUCUUGACUCGGGGGUCUCUUCCCUUUUGCCCUUCCCACUCCUUUCCCCCAUCCCACCAGAGGAUAGUGAAUGAGUGUCUGUGUGUGGUUUAGCUCCCUCUCAGGGUUAGCCCCCAACAAAUGCUUAAAAGUCAAGUAUUAUUCCCAAAUAAAUAUUGAUUUCCUUAGCUGGUGUUUUAAAAAUGACUUGGACUUUUAACUUCCAGAGGUCUUUCAGAACCUGCUAAUUUCUUAGAUGUUUUGAUCUGCUUUUUCCUGCCUUUGCUGUGUUUUACUAUUUUCUUUUCUCAUUUUGCUGUUCAGAGAUAGAUCUAACAGUGAAAAGGACAGAUUUUUUAAAAAGAAGGUUAUCUGAGAAGGAAAGGUUCACAAAUCAGAUCUGGAAUCUAGCCAGAAGAGGACUUCAAAGAAUUAAUUAAUAUAUGGUAAGAGCAAGCAGCAGAACAUGAUUUCACUUAGAGUACACAGAACCAGCACAUUUAUGACAGAAUUGCUUUGCAGUGACCUCAGGGAAUGCAAUAUAGAAAAUAAUCUUCUGUGUGGAACAAGAAAUAGUGGAAAAGACUGCGCACUAUUGAGAGUUAACUGGAAAAUCCUGACGGGUGAUUUUGUUAAGUGUGUAGAAAAGCUAAUGAAGUCAAAUAGCUGUGAAGUCUCAACGCUGCUUCAUGGCAGAGACAUGAUUGAUUUUGCUUCAUAGAGAAUUGCAUAUGUCAAAGAUCAAAAAUUCAUGUACACUCUAGAAAAUCAUCAGCCUUUUCAACAGACUUAAUGUGCAAAAUUGCUAUGUUGGUAUGGAUGCAAAUUUAGCAGGUUUGAAAAGCUUAUGGCAUGAAAGUGUAGCUUACUACCUGAUAAUUAAACAUGCAGAUGAUGUUUCUGAUAGCUGAAUUAUAAGGUGAUAUGUAGGCACAAGUUCUUCAAACCCUGCAUAACAUGGACAUUUCAACGUACCUGGCAUUUGGCAAAACUCUUCCAGAUUACACAAAAAUGCUAAUGGAAUCAGUUGUUUAGCUCUUUGCUAAAGACAAAUUUAUCCUUGUUUUCUGCUCAGUUUGGUAAACAACUUUUACAAAUCAGUGCGAGUUGUAGAGGGAGGGGGCAAGAAAGGAGUAAAAAUGAUCUCUUUCCAGUGUGAAUAUUUACUGUGGCAUGACAAGACAAUUGAUUCUCACCAUGAUUAAUUGCAAGAAAUCCUAACACAGCAAAACCGCCAAUGACAAAUUGGCGCACGGAGGGGAACAGAAUGAAAGGAAUAGGUUUUCAAUAUAAGCAUAAUCUAAAGCAUGGCCCCAAGUCACCAGAUGGCUCAAGGGAUUAGCAAUGCUAUAUAGUCUUUUCACCUCCCUCUUCUGUUCCCUCCCCUUCAAGCAACAGGUUCAAAUGUUCAAGUGAGUAACACAAGCAUCCAGACAGACACAGCUUAAAGGAUAUUUAUCUACAACAGGAAGGAUGGUAAAAGUCUUCACUAUCGAGUAGUGUUAUCUCUGUGAGGGGCUGUUUGAAUAUUUCUCUUUUGAUGAAAAGGAAAACAUUCAUUUCGGUUAAAUUGAAAUCUUCUCUUUAAGAGGUUUCAGUUUAUUUUCAGCCCCUUUCAGAAGACAUCAUUAUGUUUUUGUUCGUUUUGUACAUUUUGAAAAGAAACAUCAUUCUGAAAUGAAAGCAGUGUAGUUAUAUAGUAUUACAAAUCUCACAUUUGUUUACGUCAAUUAGGAGGAAAUAGUGAACAUGCAGAGGUGAUCUGAUUCUUAAAUUUCACUACGCGGAGUUUUCUAUCAGAGAUGCUUUGCUGAAUUUGCUUCUGGUCAUAUUGUUUUCUUAGGGGAACACAUGCACAUAACAUAAAAGUAUGAUCGUGGCUGUUAGCAAGUGAAAAUUCUUUAGGAAAUCUUAGUAGACUACGUACUACUUAAGACAACUUUUUAAGUCACUAUGUGUGGAAAUGUGGGGUAAGAGGUGUUGAGGGGUUAUCUUUGCCCCUAUAGUUGUAGUGCUUGUUUAGUAGAUGAAUAAAACACUUCAAUCCUUGUCAUGAUGGCUAUAGACUGUGUUUCAGCAGCAUGAAAAUCAACAAACAAAAACACUGAUUGUUUUCUAUGUAGAAAUUAACAGUGCUAAUUAUAGUAAAAAAAAAAGUACUAAAGGGGGGCGAGGGGAAAGGUAAGGCAAAAAGCCACCGAAGCCUGUGCCUAAAUGUAAGAAUACUGUGCCAUUUCUUUUUCUGUGGUGCUUUUUAAUUCAGAAACCAUAUGUCUAGCUUGAAUUUUCGAGUUGUCACGCUCUGCUAAUUUUUAGCUAUAGACUUUAAUUACUCUUUUUUUCUUCAACAGAAGUAACAUUUUACCCUCUAUGCAAGAUAAAUGUAGAAGGAAAAAAAGCUAGUUGAGUUUAAUUACCUGAUUUUAUGCUACAGCUUUGAUAAAACUCUACUUUUCUCCUGUUGCUCAUUUCCUUGCCUUCUGACAUCUAUUUUUGCAGGCAGCCACAGUGCAGUGCAUGAUUUAUACCUCAAAUGCUAAAAUAUUUCUUCUCUUAUGUGUUCUGGCAAGCUCUUAAUGUUAUAGCAAAGUUUCUUUUGUAAAUCUUGACCUUUCAAGGUAAUACACUGGCCUCUCUGAUAUCACUGGCAAACCUUUUUUGGACUUGAGCAGAGGGGAGGUUACCCUCAAGGAUCUCAUUGUGGAUGAAGCUUGUGUCACAUUUGCCUGCAGUCAGUUUGACCACAGUUGAUGACAAAAUAUUUCAGUUUGGAAAACAAAGGGGAAGUAACUGACAGCACUCAUUGUACUUUGACUGUCUUGCAGCCUACAGAUACUAUGGAACUGGCCUUGCGAUGGGACAAUUCUAGACAAUCAUUUUCAAUCAAGCAUAUUGUGUACUGUAUGAAAAAGGUGGAAUGAUAUAGGCCCUGCAUCUCCUCUGCACACAAAUUCCUGCGAAUCAUAGACUUGACUGAUGUACUUUGUGGAGAUUCACCUUCAAGAAUCCAAG